UAGCACCCAUCUUUGGACUUUGGCGCCUGCUACAGGUGGCGAAAUCUACUGUCAACUACUCGUGAAAAAACGCAUUAAAGUUUGAGAUCCGAAGCCAAGGCGAUUUCUUUCGCAGAGCAGAGAACAGAGAUGGUAUAUUGAUUUGAUUAGGGCUUACCGGCUAAGCGCCUGCUACAGGUGGCGAAAUCUACUGUCAACUACUCGUGAAAAAACGCAUUAAAGUUUGAGAUCCGAAGCCAAGGCGAUUUCUUUCGCAGAGCAGAGAACAGAGAUGGUAUAUUGAUUUGAUUAGGGCUUACCGGCUAAGAUUCGGACAUCCAUUCAUUCAGGAAUUCUAAAAGAAAAUAAGCCAAUGGGUCGCUCAGACUUUCUCGCGGUUCUUCUUUUUUCAGCUCUUUUGGCCGUCUCCUUUUCUCAAGGGUAUGGAAGAAAAUAUGUGUCUUUUCAGAGGGAAGAUUCUUCUGUGGUACUAAAAGGGAAUUCACAGACAAGCGUAGAUGAGAUGGAUUAUACAGAUCCAGGGCCGAACACUAACCCGAGAAGUAGUUUUCUGCCAACCCCUCCUCCUGCUCCUGUUCCGCAAGGUUAAAUGAGAUAAAACCUUAUGGAUUAUAAUAAAUAAUAGUGCUUUAAGUUCUGGUUUUCCAUAUGUAUAAACGUAAAUGUGUUACUUUGGAUGAAUAUCAUCUGGAUGAAGUUUUAAGGAGCUUGAAUUUGCCCAUUCAGUUCAGACUUGAGAGUGGUGGAAAUGUUAUAGAAAUUUGUCUAUCAUCUUUUUUUAUUUUUUUUUAUUUUUUUUUUGUUGUUGUUGUUUUCAAUGUAUGAAUGAUUCAGAUGGUGUGGAUGGUUGAUGUCA